GGUCACAAAGAGUCGGACAUGACUGAGCGACUUCACUUUCACUUUAAUCCUAUUGUGUAGGAAGACCAGUUCUUUGAAAUUAGGAAUGAUGCAUUUUCUUUGCUUCCAAAAGGACCCUAAGCACAUCAGGGGAAGCCAGCUGUCAUGUUUUGGGGACAUUAAUGCAUCCAAUGGAGUGGUUCUAUGUGGAGAGGAGAGCAACUGAAGAGUCUAGCAGCAACCAGUGAGGAAGCAAGAUCUGCCGCCAACCACAUGUGUGAACUUGGAACAGGAUCCUCUCCCAGUUGAGUCUUCUGAUGAGGCUCUGGCCCCAGCUGUCUGAAACUGUAUGAGACUGUGAGCCAGAACCAUCUAGCUAAGCUCUUUCCAGAUUCCUGACCUGCAGAAGCUAUGAGCUAACAUCUGUUGUCUUAAGUUAUUGUCUAGAGGAAUAAUGAAAAUAUUGUUAGCAGUAAUUACAGAAAUAAUGAUGACAGCUACUUUAUACUGAGUACUUACUCUGUGCCCAGAAUUGUGCCUUCAUUUGUAUCUGCACUCCCAGCAUUAUUCAUAAUAACUGAGAUGUGAAAACAAACCAAGUGUCUGUGACAGAUGGGUAGAUAAAGAAAAUGUAGUCUAUGCUGUAUACAAUGGAACAUUAUUCAGCUUUAAAAUCAAAGGAAAUCCUGCCAUUUGCAACAAUAUGGAUAAAUCGGAGGACAUUAUGCUAAGUGAAAUCAGCCAGUCACAGAAGGACAAAUACCUCCUGAUUCCACUUAUAUGAGAUACCUGUAGUAGGCAAACUCACAGAAGCCGAGAAUACAGUAGUGGUUGCCAGGGACUGGGGGAUGGUGGAGAUGGCAAGUUGUCAUUCAAAGAGUCUAAAGCUUGUUAUGCUAAUGAACAAAAUCCAAAGAUCUGCUAUACAAAGCAGUGCCUAUAGUUAACAAUAUGGUAUUGUGUGCUUUACAAUUGAUUGAGAAUAGACCCUGGAUUAAGUCUUGUUACCACAAAAUAAGAAUAACAACGACAAAGGGACAUAAAGAAACUAGGAAGUAUUGAUAUGCCUUCUACUUUGACUGUGGUGAUGGUAUCAUGAGAGUUUGCAGAUAUCCAGACUCAUCAAAUUGUACACAAUUAAUAUGCACAGUUUUUAUGUCAAUUAUUAUUCAAAAAGCUGUUCAGAAAAGAAGCAAUUCUCGUAUUCCUGCAAUGAACUGAGUGUUGUGUUAGGUAAUGGACAUUCCAUCCUAGACCUGCAAGUGUUAAAUUCCAAAUUUGGUGUUGACAGCACCCGAAGUUACUUUUCAGGCCCAUUCUGUAACUCUAGGCAACUCUAAAAUCUUUACAUGCAAACAUCUCCUAUCUAUCUCUGUCCAUUUUUAAGUUGAGAAAGUCAUGAAACAGAUCUGAGCCUCAAUUUCCUUAUCUGCAAAAUGGAAAUAAUAAUAGAUCCUUUCUAAUUUGGGAAGAUUAGAGGAGCUAAGGUAAUAUAAAAUAUAAAUAAUAAUAAUAGUUAUACUUGUCUGGUGGUGCAAUGGUUAAGAUUGCAUGCUUCCAAGGCAGGGGAUGUAGGUUAGAUUAUUAUUAUUAUUGGGCUUAAAGUUAACAAUUAACUCUGAGCACUUAGCGUGAUCUAAACAAUCCAUGGUUUUCAUUUCACAUAAUCUUAGUUACAACCUAAAGCUAGAGGUAAUAAUAUUAUUCUCAUUUUGUAGAUGAGUAAACUGAGGCUUAAGAGAGAUUAAGAACAUGCCCAAGGUCAUGGUUGAGGACACCAACAUGACAUGAUUUUCAUAAUUC